rnacentral:lncRNA from 1 species
AAUAAUAGAUUUUAUAAAUAUAAUUUUUUUUAUCAUGCGUAUUAAAUACUAAAACAAUUUUUGCAAGAAUGUACACCAAAACCCCUGAUGAAGAACUUCACAUACUUCGCGGAUUAUUUAGAUUUUAAGUAAAAUUAAAAAACAAUAAAACUAUAUAUUUAUAUGAUCCUAGCACUAAAAGAAUAAUAUUUAUACAUAAUGUUUACAACGACGAGAAUAAUCAAUAGAAGGUUUGUGAAGAAGUUCAUGGUAUUGAAUGCAACUAGCCAACUACCACCCCUGAAAGCCAUUUCUAAACACCGUGUGUUGCAUUGCAUACUCUGGUACCAUGCGCUUACUCUUGUACCAAUUUUUGACUCUUUACAAUAGUCAAAACACGUCUGACAUUGAGCGUUAAUUUUCAUCUC